UCACAUUUAGAAAUUUCUCAUCAUUCUUAAAUUUUUUACUAACUUGAAGUUCUUACAAUGAAUUGCAUAUAUGAACUGGACUUUCGAUAUCCAAUAUCUAAGAAGUAGUGUCACAUAUGGAGAAAUUACAAGGUGUUAUCAUAUAAGCACCUUGAUCAGCAACUAAUUGCUCGUUUCUCUUUAGUCUAUUUGGGUCAUAGUCUGCU
rnacentral:lncRNA from 1 species